UGUCAUUCCGAGCAUGAAACCAUGCUGCCGUUAGCAUUUAGCCUAAAGCACCGCUGUGCCCAAGUACAGCCUCACAGAGCUGCUAGCAUGGCUGUAGACUCUCAAAAUGUUGCUCAAAC